ensembl:lncRNA
CUUCAGAAGAGAGUAUCCCAUGAGAGCAUCCCAUUACAGAUGGUUGUGAGCCACCAUGUGGUUGCUGGGAAUUGAACUCAGGACCUCUGGAAGAGCAGUCAGUGCUCUCAACCACUGAGCCAUCUCUCCAGCCCCCAGAAAUGAUUUUUUAAAAAGCUUCAAUGUCAUGAAAAUAAAAGAGUAACUAUUUGAAUGAAACCCAAGGAGAGAGUAGAAAUAAAAAUGCUAAAUCUAUGAAUGUGGACUAUAUUAUGGUUGAAGAUGAUACAGUCAAUCUAGUAAUAUUAUGUUCCUGUAGGAGAAAAUGCAGGCAUGACCUAGCAGCCGGCCUGCCUGGCACACUGCACUUCUGAAUAAGAAGCAGGGCACACCAUGCUCCUGAAGCCAGAACACUGGAUCCAGCAUGAGUAGCAGGUAACUGUAGUGUUCACCCCUCAUUAAAGAAACUCUUCCUUGCAAUAUGCAUAACAGUUCUGAAAACCACAACCAAUCAAGCUGCAGUUAUAGAGCCAAGUUCCAAUGGACAUAUUUACAAAACAGCUCCUAAGCCAAGGCACAGGAAUCACUGUGGAAGGAGUAUCAAAACAAGACUAGAGUAAUGGAGUUUGUGAGAUUGUGUUUCCUAGGACUGUCCGAAGCUACACCCAUGAAGUCUCACUGAUGUGACCGACUCAACCUGAGCUGAACAAUGAUGACCCUAAUGGAGAUGCAAGUGUGGAAGGGGAACGCUCACACAACCUUAACACUACAGAAUUCUAUAGGAAAUUAAGGAAUGCUGAGAGCAGGAAAAAUGAUCUUGGAAUGACAAUUUGCUCAUAGGGAAAAACAAAAGGCCCAGGAUAAGUAAAACACUCCUGAAUAAAAAAUAAAAAGUAUCACCAUCCCAGAUCUCAAGUUGUGUUACAGAGCUGUAAUAAUACAAACAGCACGGCAUUAGCCUAUAAACAGACACCUUGUCCAAUGGAAUUAAAUUGCAGACUCAGACCUAAGUCCACACAUCUAUGAACACUGAUUUUUUUUUUUAAAGAAAGAUCCAAAAACAUACACUUAGAAAAAAGAAUCAUCAAAAAUGGUGCCGGGCAAAUUGAAUGACUGCAUGAAGAAGAAUGCAUAUAGAUUUCUAUUUGUCACCUUACACAAACCUCAACUCCAAAUGGAUCAAGGACCUCAACAUCAGGCCAGAUACCCCAAAUCUAAUAGAACAAAACACUGAUAGUACAAGCAACGAGAUCAGCAAUUGAUUAAUGGGAUCUCAUGAAACUGAAAAGCUUUUCUAUGUCAAGGCACAGAAUAGCAGACGACAAAAUGGGAAAAUAUCAUUACCAAUUACACAUCCAAUAGAGUGUUAAUGCCUUAAAUAUAUAAAGAGCUAAAAAGAUAAAAAUGAAUAAAUAAAAAACAACUGGACAUCCAGAAAGCAAAUAACCCGGUUUAAAAUGGAAUAAAAAACUGAACAGGGAGUUCCCAAAAGAUAAACCACAAAUGUCUGAGGAACUCUUAAGAAAUAAUUCAACUGGAAACCCUCACACAUCUCAGGCUAUUGACAGUUGCCCUCCGCAAACUGGUAGUAAGGCGCUGCUGCUGAAGGCAGCACUCAACACCCCCUACUGAACACGAAGAAGUCAAGCUGGUGCUAAUUAGAAGCUUCACUGUACUGAUGCAGACAGAUCUCUUCUGACUAAAGGCUACCUCUGAUAAACAGUUAUAUAUAAAAUGAAAACUCAGGUAAAUGUAUUGCAAGGUGGAGGUUUUUAAACCUGCCCAUCUGUACAAAUGUAUCUUUGAUAAAUAUACAGGUGUCAUUCGAUACACAUAUGUGAUCCUUGAUGCUAACACUCUUCAUACCCCAACUGCGGUGUUAUCUAGUGUGGGGCAGAGGAACAGAACUGAAAGAACUCAAUAGAGAUAUUGUUCAUCUUUCUAUGCACGUUGUAUUGCCUCACAGUGCUAAGACCUUUAGACAAUGUUUCCUCCUUUGGUGGGAGACUUAGGUGAAGCUGGAAAAGCAUCUAAGACACUGCUUUGACACAUAGUCUCGUAUCUGUAGAAGAAGGCAAAUCCUUUCUACAUUUACUUCCUCCUUAAAUGGAUGAAAAUCUGCAUUCAACUAUGUGUAAAUGUUCUUUUGCCUUGGAAGGUGAUCUCAAUGAAUGAAAACACUCUCAACGGUGAUGACAUCACUGACAAAAAUAAAUGCAUUUUACAGAUAAUGUGUUUGGUUCUCAAGACAGUAACGCUAAUUAAAAAUCCAUUUGCAUAUUAAUGCUGAUCUUGUCGUGGCCUCAAGAUCAUUCAAGAGCUGAGGCAAAGUUACUAUGGUUUCCGUUUAAUCAGCAGAAGUUCCUCAGAAGGCAAAAAGUAUUUUCCCAUAGCAGCACUGUUAAUCAUGUCUGUAAGGUCUAAAGUCCAGGCUGGGAAAUCUUAUUAAACCCAAAUACACCAAAUUAUAAUAUUAACAGUGGGUCUGCCCAAUAUAAAUGUUUGUAGUGUUACAGUGAGUCACUAGGUAACUCAAUAGGAAAGACAAGGGAGGGCUCUGGAUCAUUAAAAAAAAAAAAUGUGUUUUAGUCACCGUGCUAAAUAGUUGAUGCUCACUGAAUGUGGACGGAAUCAUCAUCAAAGAGAACAGCCUCACUUUCUAGGUAAUGGACCUGGAAUUUUGAAACACACAAACACACACCACACACACCUACACAGAUACCACACUCAAUAUACACAUACAUACCCAUACAUACAUUCACACCACACACUGCCAUUUUUUGAAACAAUGAAAAGAAAAUGCAUCUAGUAUAAAAAUAAAGACAUAAGUAAUAUUUUAAUUGUUUCAAGAACUAGAGUGCAAUAGAAAGCCAGUUCAAAGAGAUUCAAAGACAACACACAACAGAGGCAAGUCAGAGUGCUGAAACGAAUUUAACACGCAGAAUUAGUCAAACUCCAAAGGGAAAAACUUAGUCUCUCCUUCAUCAGCAGAAACAGUUUACAUUCCGAGCAGCUUAGCUCGACUCACAGAGCGAUAAGUAUCUUGGAAUCAGGGAGGGCACUGAUAAUGAGGUGAGAAGAGUCCACAGGCGAGGACACCUGUGCUAACUCAGAG